GUGCUCGCUUCAGCAGCACAUAUACUAAAAUUGGAACGAUAGAGAAGAUUAGCAUGGCCCCUGAGCAAGGAUGACACACAAAUUCGUGAAGCGUUCCUUAUUUCA
ensembl:snRNA U6 U6 spliceosomal RNA